rnacentral:rRNA from 1 species
AUUGAACGCUGGCGGCAUGCCUUACACAUGCAAGUCGAGCGGCAGCGCGGGGGCAACCCUGGCGGCGAGCGGCGAACGGGUGAGUAAUGCAUCGGAACGUGUCCUCUUGUGGGGGAUAACCAGUCGAAAGACUGGCUAAUACCGCAUGAGCACGAGAGUGGAAAGCGGGGGACCGCAAGGCCUCGCGCGAGAGGAGCGGCCGAUGCCGGAUUAGCUAGUUGGCGGGGUAACGGCCCACCAAGGCGACGAUCCGUAGCUGGUUUGAGAGAACGACCAGCCACACUGGGACUGAGACACGGCCCAGACUCCGGCGGGAGGCGGCAGUGGGGAAUUUUGGACAAUGGGGGCAACCCUGAUUCAGCCAUGCCGCGUGUGUGAAGAAGGCCUUCGGGUUGUAAAGCACUUUCGGCCGGAACGAAAUCGCGCGGGUGAACAUCCCGCGUGGAUGACGGUACCGGAAGAAGAAGCACCGGCUAACUACGUGCCAGCCGCCGCGGUAAUAC